CCCAAAGGUUGAUAACUGGGCGCAUCUGGCCGCCUUUCUUUUCCACAAGGAAGAUGUUGCUGAGAACACCUGUUCUAUCGCUCCCUUCGUGAGGAGGGCCGAUAGCUCCUCGUCUAUUAAGGCGCGGUUUGCCCUUGAAAGUACAAUAGGGUGAGGGGGAGGAAUAUGACACGGGGUGUCUACCAAUUCUAUGUGAAACCCCCUCACUAUGGACAGAACCCAGGCAUCUGAGGUGAUGUCUAACCAGGCAUGGAAAAAAUGACGGCCCUGGUAGAG